GCCUUGUUCAAGGACUGACCUGUCCUGGAAAUCUUAAUCUAGAUCAGUGGUUCUCAAAGUGAGUCCAUUUUCGAUGGAACAUUAUGGGUAACAUGAGAACCUUGGAUCUGGACUGGCAUUGAUUGCUUUACAUUUACAUUGCAUUACAUGC